UGAGCAUUAUUUGGUCUUGGGGCUUCUUGUGAUGUGUAUUUUACAUGUAUGUAAGAUUAGUGGGGUUUGCACCGUGUUAUAAUUUAUAAUCAGAUUUUAAAACUAAUGAAAAAAAAAAAACAACAUAAGAAUACUAAUAUUUACUGACAAAAAGAUGAUUAAUUUUAUUAACCAAUAUUUUUAAGUUUUAACUCUUUUUGCUUCAAUGUCAAAUAAAUGAUCACUAAAAUAUCAGCAUGUACAUACUCAGUCAAAAGGUAGGUUUAUAACAGUUUUGAUAUUAUUAGUCAUAUCUAUGCCUCAGUUAUGUUCAGUUCUUUAGUGUAUGUUGUUCUAAACACUUACAUGUACCUCAGUUUUACUUUAAUUUUUGGUGUUUAUUCUACUGAUGCUUUAUAUAUAUAGGUUUUGAUAUUUAAUUUAAUUCAUUGUGCAAUAUACGUUGUGAUGUGUGAGAAUUAAAGCAUAUAUUUUAUCU
rnacentral:misc_RNA from 1 species